rnacentral:rRNA from 1 species
UGAGUAACGCGUGGGUGACCUGCCCGGGAGGCCGGGAUAACAGCUCGAAAGGGCUGCUAAUACCGGAUGAUAUCUUUUGGCUGCGGCCAAGGGAUCAAAGCGUUUUAGCGCUCUCGGAUGGGCCCGCGUCCCAUUAGCUAGUUGGUGGGGUAAUGGCCUACCAAGGCGACGAUGGGUAGCCGGUCUGAGAGGAUGGUCGGCCACACUGGGACUGAGACACGGCCCAGACUCCUACGGGAGGCAGCAGUGGGGAAUUUUGCGCAAUGGGGGCAACCCUGACGCAGCGACGCCGCGUGGGUGAAGAAGGCCUUCGGGUUGUAAAGCCCUGUUGGGGGGGACGAUAGUGACGGUACCCCCUGAGGAAGCCCCGGCUAACUACGUGCCAGCAGCCGCGGUAAUACGUAGGGGGCGAGCGUUGUCCGGAAUUACUGGGCGUAAAGGGCGUGUAGGCGGCCUUUCAAGUCGGCUGUGAA